rnacentral:rRNA from 1 species
CAGUCGCCGCGGUAAUACGAAGGGUGCAAGCGUUACUCGGAAUUACUGGGCGUAAAGCGUGCGUAGGUGGUGGUUUAAGUCCGUUCUGAAAGCCCUGGGCUCAACCUGGGAAUUGCAGUGGAUACUGGAUCACUAGAGUGUGGUAGAGGAUAGUGGAAUUUCCGGUGUAGCAGUGAAAUGCGUAGAGAUGUGGAGGAAUACCGAUGGCGAAGGCAGCCCCCUGGGCCAAUACUGACGCUCAUGCACGAAAGCGUGGGGAGCAAACAGGAUUAGAGACCCCCGUAGUCCCUGUCUCUUAUAA